CAGCAGCCACGGUAAAACGGAGGGGGCUAGCGUUGUUCGGAAUUACUGGGCGUAAAGCGCACGUAGGUGGCUUGGUAAGUUAGAGGUGAAAGCCCGGAGCUCAACUCCGGAAUUGCCUUUAAGACUGCCGAGCUAGUAGGUGAGAGAGGUAAGUGGAAUUCCGAGUGUAGAGGUGAAAUUCGUAGAUAUUCGGAAGAACACCAGUGGCGAAGGCGGCUUACUGGACGACUGUUGACGCUGAGGUGCGAAAGCGUGGGGAGCAAACAGGAUUAGAUACCCCCGUAGUCCCUGUCUCUUAUAU
rnacentral:rRNA from 1 species